UACACCAUGUCUUGAUAGAUAAUAAAAGCUCUAUCAAUGUAUUGUUUUAUGAUGCUUUUUUGAAGAUAGGGAUACCUACAAAUCGAUUGGGAAGAAUGGACUCCCCACUCAUCAGAUUUAUCAGAGACACCAUUCCUGUUGAAGGGGUCAUCACCUUGCCCUUAAAGGUUGGCCGAUCUCUUGCUCAGUCCACCAUGCA
rnacentral:lncRNA from 1 species